GCUGGCGGCGUGCCUAAUACAUGCAAGUAGAACGCUUUAGAGAGGAGCUUGCUCUUCUUGGAUGAGUUGCGAACGGGUGAGUAACGCGUAGGUAACCUGCCUUGUAGCGGGGGAUAACUAUUGGAAACGAUAGCUAAUACCGCAUAACAAUGGAUGACACAUGUCAUUUAUUUGAAAGGGGCAAAUGCUCCACUACAAGAUGGACCUGCGUUGUAUUAGCUAGUAGGUGAGGUAACGGCUCACCUAGGCGACGAUACAUAGCCGACCUGAGAGGGUGAUCGGCCACACUGGGACUGAGACACGGCCCAGACUCCUACGGGAGGCAGCAGUAGGGAAUCUUCGGCAAUGGGGGCAACCCUGACCGAGCAACGCCGCGUGAGUGAAGAAGGUUUUCGGAUCGUAAAGCUCUGUUGUAAGUCAAGAACGAGUGUGAGAGUGGAAAGUUCACACUGUGACGGUAGCUUACCAGAAAGGGACGGCUAACUACGUGCCAGCAGCCGCGGUAAUACGUAGGUCCCGAGCGUUGUCCGGAUUUAUUGGGCGUAAAGCGAGCGCAGGCGGUUUGAUAAGUCUGAAGUUAAAGGCUGUGGCUCAACCAUAGUUCGCUUUGGAAACUGUCAAACUUGAGUGCAGAAGGGGAGAGUGGAAUUCCAUGUGUAGCGGUGAAAUGCGUAGAUAUAUGGAGGAACACCGGUGGCGAAAGCGGCUCUCUGGUCUGUAACUGACGCUGAGGCUCGAAAGCGUGGGGAGCGAACAGGAUUAGAUACCCUGGUAGUCCACGCCGUAAACGAUGAGUGCUAGGUGUUGGAUCCUUUCCGGGAUUCAGUGCCGCAGCUAACGCAUUAAGCACUCCGCCUGGGGAGUACGACCGCAAGGUUGAAACUCAAAGGAAUUGACGGGGGCCCGCACAAGCGGUGGAGCAUGUGGUUUAAUUCGAAGCAACGCGAAGAACCUUACCAGGUCUUGACAUCCCGAUGCUAUUUCUAGAGAUAGAAAGUUACUUCGGUACAUCGGUGACAGGUGGUGCAUGGUUGUCGUCAGCUCGUGUCGUGAGAUGUUGGGUUAAGUCCCGCAACGAGCGCAACCCCUAUUGUUAGUUGCCAUCAUUCAGUUGGGCACUCUAGCGAGACUGCCGGUAAUAAACCGGAGGAAGGUGGGGAUGACGUCAAAUCAUCAUGCCCCUUAUGACCUGGGCUACACACGUGCUACAAUGGUUGGUACAACGAGUUGCGAGUCGGUGACGGCAAGCUAAUCUCUUAAAGCCAAUCUCAGUUCGGAUUGUAGGUUGCAACUCGCCUACAUGAAGUCGGAAUCGCUAGUAAUCGCGGAUCAGCACGCCGCGGUGAAUACGUUCCCGGGCGUUGUACACACCGCCCGUCACACCACGAGAGUUUGUAACACCCGAAGUAAAAGGGGUACCCUUUUGGAG
rnacentral:rRNA from 1 species